rnacentral:rRNA from 1 species
AUUGAACGCUGGCGGCAGGCCUAACACAUGCAAGUCGAACGGUAACAGGAAGCAGCUUGCUGCUUUGCUGACGAGUGGCGGACGGGUGAGUCAUGUCUGGGAAACUGCCCGAUGGAGGGGGAUAACUACUGGAAACGGUAGCUAAUACCGCAUAACGUCGCAAGACCAAAGAGGGGGACCUUAGGGCCUCUUGCCAUCGGAUGUGCCCAGAUGGGAUUAGCUAGUAGGUGGGGUAACGGCUCACCUAGGCGACGAUCCCUAGCUGGUCUGAGAGGAUGAACAGCCACACUGGAACUGAGACACGGUCCAGACUCCUACGGGAGGCAGCAGUGGGGAAUAUUGCACAAUGGGCGCAAGCCUGAUGCAGCCAUGCCGCGUGUAUGAAGAAGGCCUUCGGGUUGUAAAGUACUUUCAGCGGGGAGGAAGGGAGUAAAGUUAAUACCUUUGCUCAUUGACGUUACCCGCAGAAGAAGCACCGGCUAACUCCGUG